CGUCAAUUAGGAUAAUCCCAUAGGCCACUUCACCUAUAGAUAGUGGUCCCACAAGGCCAAUAAUCGAUCCUACCAGCAGAGGUCCAAGCCUAAUCGGCCCAACGCAUAGUUAUAGUCUUGCAUCAAAUCAUAGUUAGGGUCUCACUCGUCACGGCCAAUCGAUAAUUCAAUCUUAUACAUGUCACCGAGAGGUAAACACCCCGCCACCCACCUCAAAGGCCCCAUGAGCCAAAUCAUAGGUAGAGCCUCUCAAAGCCACUUGGUAAGUAGUUAGGGCGUCACCUAUCACCUAAGAUAGUAUGUUAAUACAAUUUUGCCUUGGGCACUUGUAACGGCACCCCCAGACAUAAAAGCGUUAAACCGCCGUUUAGUUGAUCUUCCCUUCCAGAGAUAUAUAGGCACAGCUACUUCAGAACACCAAUCCGCCGAACAGGAAACCAUAUGAAUCCUGUAAACAGCCGAAUAGGAAAAACCAUACGAAUAGGUUUACACUCCUAGCAGUCAAACUGGAACAGCAUAUAUAAAUCCCCCCAAUAACGAGACAAGGCUCUGUUUUGAGGGUCAAGCAGGAACAGACAGA